rnacentral:rRNA from 1 species
GACGUAGGGCGCAAGCGUUGUCCGGAAUUAUUGGGCGUAAAGAGCUCGUAGGCGGCUUGUCGCGUCGACUGUGAAAACCUGCAGCUCAACUGUGGGCUUGCAGUCGAUACGGGCAGGCUAGAAUUCGGUAGGGGAGACUGGAAUUCCUGGUGUAGCGGUGAAAUGCGCAGAUAUCAGGAGGAACACCGGUGGCGAAGGCGGGUCUCUGGGCCGAUAUUGACGCUGAGGAGCGAAAGCGUGGGGAGCGAACAGG